CGGAGAAGCCCUAGUCGUAGCAGAAGUAACUCACCUCGGGAAGCAACUCCUAGCAAACAGGGGCAUCACCGUUCUCCACGCUCUCAAAGCCCGACCUAGCUGGAAUGGCAAUGCAUCUUGUCAUGGACAGCUUGAGGAUGAACACUUCAGAUCUUUGGUAAAACAGCUACGAUCUGUUUGCUUAGGCUAUGUGGUGACAACAGCGUAAUCCUUGGCAUUGCUGCAUUGGGCUUCCCACGCUGAUUCCUUACAAACACCUGAGCACUUCCCAAGAACUACAUUAUUUUCUGUUCGUUAUCAUCUAAUUUCUUUCAUGUAUCCAUUUUAAUGCUCCUUUUCUUUGAUACUGGGUGCUUAUGAUAGAUGGUAACUUGCAUAUUUCUCGUUACAUGAUGGAGCUGGGAGGUGUUGGUUGAUAAGUGAUCCAUAUGCAAGUUGAUGACAUAAGUUCACAGUA